GCCGCCGUAGCUCAGUGGAAGAGCACAUCCUUGGUAAGGAUGAGGCCGUGCGUUCGAUCCGCACCGGCGGCACCA
rnacentral:tRNA from 1 species